CCCCAAGCAUCAGCUGAAACCAUCAUUGAUUCUUUGGGGACCUAAAGAAGGCAUGGCCAUCACCUGUGUGAGUCAUUUUUGUGGUCCCAGCCCCUCCUCCAUAACCCACACUCAGUGAGGAAAGAUUGUCAUGAAGAGGAGAAUUUGCCUUCUUCAUUCAACCACUCUGUAGAGAUGGAGUUUCAAUAUGCCGGCCAGGCUUGUCUCCAACCUCUGACCUCAAGUGAUCUGCCAACCUUGGCUUCUCAAAGUGCUGGGAUUACAGGUUGCAUUCGCCGCCCAGCUGGCAUGGAAGAUCGUGGUAUACAAUUUUGUUCCUCUUUCGCUGGGAUUUGUUGCUUGUGCUGACUUCUAUCCUGUACCUAUCUAUACCAGAUAUAUCCACCAAGAUGCACCAAGUCUGCCAGGAGAACCUUCUGGUUAAGUACCACCUCAUCUUCUUGUAACAAUUGAUCUUCAUUUCUAGCAGUUCUUUCAUUUAAUAACAAAAAAUAACCUUAUUAAUAAUUAAAUUAAUACGUUAUCAAAUUACUAGAUUCAAUAGUUUAGUUUUACAUCUUUAACUGUCUAGGCAUAUUUUGUUAUUUGCAUUAGUGAAAGAAGUACUUAAAUCUAAUUAUAUACUGACAUUCUAUAAUUCAUACGUGCAAAUUCUGAGAAUAGAUUUAAUGAGUAUAAAUAUACAAUAAAGAGUCUCACUGUGCUGUAAAUAAAAUAACA
rnacentral:lncRNA from 13 species